rnacentral:rRNA from 1 species
UGGGGAAUAUUGGACAAUGGGCGAAAGCCUGAUCCAGCAAUGCCGCGUGAGUGAUGAAGGCCUUCGGGUCGUAAAGCUCUUUUACCAGGGAUGAUAAUGACAGUACCUGGAGAAUAAGCUCCGGCUAACUCCGUGCCAGCAGCCGCGGUAAUACGGAGGGAGCUAGCGUUGUUCGGAAUUACUAGGCGUAAAGAGUACGUAGGCGGUUAUUCAAGUCAGAGGUGAAAGCCCGGGGCUCAACCCCGGAACUGCCUUUGAAACUAGAUAACUAGAGUCUUGGAGAGGUUAGUGGAAUUCCGAGUGUAGAGGUGAAAUUCGUAGAUAUUCGGAAGAACACCAGUGGCGAAGGCGACUAACUGGACAAGUACUGACGCUGAGGUACGAAAGCGUGGGGAGCAAACAGGAUUAGAUACCCUGGUAGUCCACGCCGUAAACGAUGAUAACUAGUUGUUCGGUCACUUGGUGACUGAGUGACGCAGCUAACGCAUUAAGUUAUCCGCCUGGGGAGUACGGUCGCAAGAUUA